AAUUAUUGGGCGUAAAGAGCUCGUAGGCGGUUUGUCGCGUCUGCCGUGAAAGUCCGGGGCUUACUCCGGAUCUGCGGUGGGUACGGGCAGACUAGAGUGCAGUAGGGGAGACUGGAAUUCCUGGUGUAGCGGUGAAAUGCGCAGAUAUCAGGAGGAACACCGAUGGCGAAGGCAGGUCUCUGGGCUGUAACUGACGCUGAGGAGCGAAAGCAUGGGGAGCGAACAGGAUUAGAUACCCUGGUAGUCCAUGCCGUACACGUUGGGCACUAGGUGUGGGGGACAUUCCACGUUUUCCGCGCCGUAGCUAACGCAUUAAGUGCCCCGCCUGGGGAGUACGGCCGCAAGGCUAAAACUCAAAGGAAUUGACGGGGGCCCGCACAAGCGGCGGAGCAUGCGGAUUAAUUCGAUGCAACGCGAAGAACCUUACCAAGGCUUGACAUGAACCGGAAUGAUGCAGAGAUGUGUCAGCCACUUGUGGCCGGUUUACAGGUGGUGCAUGGUUGUCGUCAGCUCGUGUCGUGAGAUGUUGGGUUAAGUCCCGCAACGAGCGCAACCCUCGUUCCAUGUUGCCAGCGGGCUAUGCCGGGGACUCAUGGGAGACUGCCGGGGUCAACUCGGAGGAAGGUGGGGACGACGUCAAAUCAUCAUGCCCCUUAUGUCUUGGGCUUCACGCAUGCUACAAUGGCCGGUACAAAGGGUUGCGAUACUGUGAGGUGGAGCUAAUCCCAAAAAGCCGGUCUCAGUUCGGAUUGAGGUCUGCAACUCGACCUCAUGAAGUUGGAGUCGCUAGUA
rnacentral:rRNA from 1 species